UUGACUGCAGGUUCGACAAGCAUUACUCAAAUAAUAAUUUAAAGAGAAACAUUUGUAUUUUUACUGUUAAAUAAAUCUCGAAAAUAAUGCGUUACAAUCCAAAAACCGAAAAAUUUAUGUGACUUAGUCCAUUAGAUUUGAAAAGCUAAUGAAACAAUUAUUUACCAGUUCCGUUAAACAUCAGUUUUUAAGCAAGAUUUAAAAAUACGUAAUUAAAUAAACUAUGCCUAAGCCGGCAGUUUCGUUCAACACUGGAGAAGUCGUGGUAUCUGCUAUCAAAAAAUUAAUGAAAAACACGGGCUGGUCGGCACGUACAAUAAUUAAAUUUAUUAAAAUGGAAUAUAGUAUCUGUGACCCCAAAAUAAGCCGUAAAGUGUCCAGGGCAUUGAAGCGCGGCGUAAGGCUCGGCUUACUGCAGAUGGAGCGCGGACGCUACAGGCUGAAUGACAUGGCGCGACUCACGCGGCCUGUUAGUGCUCGAGAAAUUCGACUCAGACCGAGAUACAGGCCCCGAGAGAGACCCUUACGUAUCGUGUGCAGUCGCGCCUCAUCGUGCGCGUCUACUCGUAAAUAUUAUUACAGAAAUUAAACUUUUGUAUAAAUUAUAC